rnacentral:rRNA from 1 species
GACGUAGGGCGCGAGCGUUGUCCGGAUUUAUUGGGCGUAAAGAGCUCGUAGGCGGCUUGUUGCGUCGACUGUGAAAACCCGCGGCUUAACCGCGGGCCUGCAGUUGAUACGGGCAGGCUAGAGUUCGGUAGGGGAGACUGGAAUUCCUGGUGUAGCGGUGAAAUGCGCAGAUAUCAGGAGGAACACCGGUGGCGAAGGCGGGUCUCUGGGCCGAUACUGACACUGAGGGACGAAAGCUAGGGGAGCGAAUGGG